rnacentral:rRNA from 1 species
AAACUGGCCCUUAAGUAUGUUAAACGGCCGCGGUAUUUUGACCGUGCAAAGGUAGCGUAAUAAUUUGUCUUUUAAAUGAAGACUAGUAUGAAUGGCGUCACGAGGGCUUAGCUGUCUCCCCUCUAAAGUCAAUGAAAUUGAUCUCCCCGUGCAGAAGCGGGGAUAUGCUCGUAAGACGAGAAGACCCUAUGGAGCUUUAGACUUAAAGCAACCCACAUCAAACACCCCUCAAAGGGAACAAACAGGGUGGCCCUUGCUAAGAUGUCUUCGGUUGGGGCGACCACGGGGAAAAACAAAACCCCCACAUGGACAGGGGCCACAUAUGCCCUAAAACAUAGACCCACAGGUCAAAUCAACAGUACUUCUGACCACCAAUGACCCGGCGCAAGCCGAUUAAUGAACCUAGUUACCCUAGGGAUAACAGCGCAAUCCUCUCCGACAGCCCUUAUCNACAAGGGGGUUUACGAC